UAGUCCACACCGUAAACGAUGAGAGCUAGUUGUCUGCAAGCAUGCUUGUAGGUGACGCAGCUAACGCAUUAAGCUCUCCGCCUGGGGAGUACGGUCGCAAGAUUAAAACUCAAAGAAAUUGACGGGGGCCCGCACAAGCGGUGGAGCAUGUGGUUUAAUUCGAAGCAACGCGCAGAACCUUACCUACCCUUGACAUGCCGGUCGCGAUUUCCAGAGAUGGAUUUCUUCAAUUUCGUAGUUCGGACCGUGCACGAGGUCGCUGCAGUGGCUGUCGUCAGUUCGUGUCGUGAGAUGUUGGGUUAAGUCCCGCAACGAGCGCAACCCUCACUUUUAGUUGCCAGCAUUUAGUUGGGCACUCUAGAAGAACUGCCGGUGCUAAGCCGGAGGAAGGUGGGGAUGACGUCAAGUCCUCAUGGCCCUUACGGGUUGGGCUACACACGUGCUACAAUGGCAGUGACAAUGGGUUAAUCCCAAAAACGUCGUCUCAGUUCGGAUUGGGUCUGUCACUACG
rnacentral:rRNA from 1 species